GGCCCCAUCGUCUAGCGGUUAGGACAUCGCCCUCUCACGGCGCAAACAGGGGUUCGAUUCCCCUUGGGGCUACCA
rnacentral:tRNA from 1 species